rnacentral:tRNA from 1 species
AGGCUUGUAGCUCAGUAUGGAAGAGCACACCCCUGAUAAGGGUGAGGUCAAUGGUUCAAAUCCGUUCAAGCCUA